rnacentral:rRNA from 1 species
UUCUCGCUCAGAUUGAACGCUGGCGGCAGGCCUAACACAUGCAAGUCGAGCGGUAGCACAGAGAGCUUGCUCUCGGGUGACGAGCGGCGGACGGGUGAGUAAUGUCUGGGAAACUGCCUGAUGGAGGGGGAUAACUACUGGAAACGGUAGCUAAUACCGCAUAACGUCGCAAGACCAAAGUGGGGGACCUUCGGGCCUCAUGCCAUCAGAUGUGCCCAGAUGGGAUUAGCUAGUAGGUGGGGUAACGGCUCACCUAGGCGACGAUCCCUAGCUGGUCUGAGAGGAUGACCAGCCACACUGGAACUGAGACACGGUCCAGACUCCUACGGGAGGCAGCAGUGGGGAAUAUUGCACAAUGGGCGCAAGCCUGAUGCAGCCAUGCCGCGUGUGUGAAGAAGGCCUUCGGGUUGUAAAGCACUUUCAGCGGGGAGGAAGGCGUUAAGGUUAAUAACCUCAUCGAUUGACGUUACCCGCAGAAGAAGCACCGGCUAACUCCGUGCCAGCAGCCGCGGUAAUACGGAGGGUGCAAGCGUUAAUCGGAAUUACUGGGCGUAAAGCGCACGCAGGCGGUCUGUCAAGUCGGAUGUGAAAUCCCCGGGCUCAACCUGGGAACUGCAUUCGAAACUGGCAGGCUAGAGUCUUGUAGAGGGGGGUAGAAUUCCAGGUGUAGCGGUGAAAUGCGUAGAGAUCUGGAGGAAUACCGGUGGCGAAGGCGGCCCCCUGGACAAAGACUGACGCUCAGGUGCGAAAGCGUGGGGAGCAAACAGGAUUAGAUACCCUGGUAGUCCACGCCGUAAACGAUGUCGAUUUGGAGGUUGUGCCCUUGAGGCGUGGCUUCCGGAGCUAACGCGUUAAAUCGACCGCCUGGGGAGUACGGCCGCAAGGUUAAAACUCAAAUGAAUUGACGGGGGCCCGCACAAGCGGUGGAGCAUGUGGUUUAAUUCGAUGCAACGCGAAGAACCUUACCUGGUCUUGACAUCCACAGAACUUUCCAGAGAUGGAUUGGUGCCUUCGGGAACUGUGAGACAGGUGCUGCAUGGCUGUCGUCAGCUCGUGUUGUGAAAUGUUGGGUUAAGUCCCGCAACGAGCGCAACCCUUAUCCUUUGUUGCCAGCGGUCCGGCCGGGAACUCAAAGGAGACUGCCAGUGAUAAACUGGAGGAAGGUGGGGAUGACGUCAAGUCAUCAUGGCCCUUACGACCAGGGCUACACACGUGCUACAAUGGCAUAUACAAAGAGAAGCGACCUCGCGAGAGCAAGCGGACCUCAUAAAGUAUGUCGUAGUCCGGAUUGGAGUCUGCAACUCGACUCCAUGAAGUCGGAAUCGCUAGUAAUCGUAGAUCAGAAUGCUACGGUGAAUACGUUCCCGGGCCUUGUACACACCGCCCGUCACACCAUGGGAGUGGGUUGCAAAAGAAGUAGGUAGCUUAACCUUCGGGAGGGCGCUUACCACUUUGUGAUUCAUGACUGGGGUGAAGUCGUAACAGGGAAACC